AUUUGUCUGUUACAGCCCAUGAUUUAUUUGUUUGUUACAGCUCAUGAUGUAUUUGUCUGUUACAGCCCAUGAUGUAUUUGUUUGUUAAAGCUCAUGGUGUAUUCGUUUGUUACAGCCCAUGAUGUAUUUGUCUGUUACAGCCCAUGAUGUAUUUGCUUGUUAAAGCUAAUGAUAUAUUUGUUUGUUACAGCCCAUGAUGUAUUCGUUAGUUUGAAGCAGACCAUGAUGUAUUCGUUUGUUAUAGCCCAUGAUUUAUUUGUUUGUUACAGCCCGUAUAUGCCAGAAUGGAUGGAGGGAACACAACAACCACUGCUACAAGCUGAUCACAGACAGAGUAGGCUGGUACUCCGCGAACAGCCGAUGUAAAAAUCAGCGUGCAAAUCUUGCUUCUAUUCAUAGCAUGGCCGAGAUGAACUUCAUUAAUUCUUUGAUCACUAACGCCCCUCAAGAGGAUCAACCAGUGGUCUGGUUUGGAUUGAAACGGCAGCACGGUGGGUGGAAGUGGUCAGAUGGAUCCAGGCUUUUCUACAGUAACUGGGCUCCAGGUGAACCCAACCGCAAAGCCCUCUUGACUUUAGCUGCUGAGUGCGCUGGUAUAGCCUCCAAGACUGGCAAACAGUGGUUCUUGGGAACUUACAUGAAGAAGGGACACUGGAAUGACCAACGAUGUGAAGCUAGAUUUGCGUACAUAUGCAAAAAUUAAUUAAGAAUAAGAAGAGGAGCUCCAAAAUAAGUUUCGAAGUGACGACAACUUGAUUGAUCUCUGUGGAAACAUUGAAGGAAAUGGUUCUUAUUUGAAAAUUGGGAAGCGAGGUAAAGGGAAGAAGGAUCUUUAUCUAUUUUCAUAUCUACAUUUAUGUAUCAUUUGAAACAACCAACGCAAUAAUUAUAUGUCGGUGUAGGACCCAAAUUGAUACGCAACAGUUUAUCAUCGUAUCUUACAAAAAAUGAUUAUAUGUCGGUGUAGGACCCAAAUUGAUACGUAACAGUUUGUUAUCGAAUCUUACAAAUGUUAAUGUGAUGGAUAAGGAAAUUCAUUCAAAACAAUUAAGCAAGAGUCACAAGGUCUCCUCUGCUUUUAAUUGCCUAUUUUUUCUAUAUUUGAUCUAAACGUUUUAUUAACAUAUGUGCGGACCAAUUAUAUACAUUUGUAAGUAACUGCACUUUUAUACAAUGUGUACAAUCAGUGACACCAUAAGCAUGCACACAACACUUGUUUACGUAUUUGUCAAGAAAAUAAAUUGACUUGAGUAUAACCUUUUGAUUAGUGAAGUUUAUAUAAAACAGAUGUGAUGAAUGUAAAACAAGAAUAGUGUACAAAGUCAGGAAAAGACGUAGGGACAGGAAGGUUGUACUAAAUUGGUCAAGUAAUAACAAUGUAUCUUUCUAGCCUGACUAAAAUCGCACUCCUAGUCGCCGGUCCUACAGUUGCCACCACCUAGAAGGGGGUCAUUAACCCCAGCCAGCGAGAGUUUGUUAAAACACAGGCUAUGUUUCUUUGUAGAGAAAGUGAAUAAUCAUGUGCUUGGAGAUCAUUAUAGCCUGUUACAGUGUAGCACCUUGUCCAAUCCUAUAAAGCAUGUAAAAGUAAGAUUCUUCUCUUUCAGAUAGAUGGAAAGUUGCUCGUUUGUUAAAUAAAAAUGCCUCAAAUGAACAACAUCACAGUUUUUUUUAGCAAUUCUAGUCCAUCAGUGUAGAAGAAACUAAAAUCUAGACAAGUAUAAAAUUGUUGAGGUUGAGUACUACCGUGUUACCUGUAGUUGAUUAGGUCACACCACUUGACUUUAUUUUUUUUAUCAAAAAUAGAAAUAUGCUGAACUACUAACAUAGUUUGUUUCAAUGUCUGUAUGCUGUAUUUUUCUAUAAGACCUUUUGAAGUUUUCUCUGCCUGUUUUCAUAACAUCCUUAAGUACUACAGACGUACUUUAAAAUGUUCAAGAACUGAGGAAAUAAAUCGAUGUGUUCUUAUUUAACUUCACUGAAGCUGUGGAGUU